UACCGCAGCGCCGAAAAGAAUAAGCGCCAUCUGUGUUAACUUUGGUUAGACUAAAUUUGUUUUGUCAUUGUGUAAUUUUACGUAUUGUUCCAAAUAACUUGAAAAUGUCUGAUUAUUUGGGUAAAGAUAUGAGAAAAACUAAAAAAGAAGACAAAGACGAAGAAAAAGAAGAGAAUAUUAAAGCAUUGGAUGAAGCAGACAUUGCCCUGCUUAAAACUUAUGGUGUUGGGCAGUACAGCAAAGCAAUAAAACAAGCAGAUGAUGACAUUCAAUCAAUUUUAAAGAAAGUAAAUGAAUUAACUGGUA